CAGGAGAUGAAGUUCAUCGGGGACAUAAUGAUUUUCGCUUAAUUCAAGCAGAGGUUUGUGUUUAACACCAAAAUUGUUUUUAGACAGACAUGUUUAUAUCAAAGAUAGGACAAAUUUCCUCAUACGAUCUAAAAAGUUCUGGGGUAUGGUAAUAAUUCCAACACUUACUAAUAUCAUGUCUGUCAUUUUUAUGAACUUUACACCAGGGACAUGCAAAAUCACC
rnacentral:lncRNA from 1 species